UUUGUGCUAUAUUACGGA
rnacentral:siRNA from 1 species